ensembl:lncRNA
GUUCAAAGGGAGAUAAAGGAGACAAAGGAGAAGAUGGGAAGCCUGGAGUCUCUGAGAGUGCAGGGAGUGAGUGUGUUCACAAAUGUAUAUCAUAAUUGCUUUUAUAUCAUUAAUUCACUUUUAAUCUAAAUUGAACAGAGAAAGCUGCUUCUGAACCUGGUCCUCCUGGCCCACCUGGCCCACCCGGACCACCUGGGAAUGAUGGAAAACCAGGUACAUAGUUCCUGAAUUUAGUUCAAUCUGACUUCAUUAUCUCCAAGUGGCAUUCCUGUAUUAUUAUGGUAUUCAUUUUUUAUUUGUUUUUUUUCCACAGGUAUUGGUCAACCUGGUCCUCCUGGUGAAAAAGGUGAACCGGGAAGCUUUGUACCCACUUCAGGUAUGCUUUAAUUCACUGUACGUACUGUAUUAGCAUUUGAGAUCUUAAAUUAUGGUAUGAAAGUGAUCUGAGUGUGGUUUUUGCGAUCAAUCAGAAACCUUCUUUGCUGGACCGCCUGGGCCUCCUGGACCUAUUGGACCAAAGGGAUCACAAGGUAGAUUUAUAUAUUUUUUUUCCUGGAGUCAUGUGGAGCCUGUGAAUUUUAAUAUUUCAUGUCUUCUGUUCAGGUGAUAUUGGCCCUCAAGGUUUCACUGGUAAGACCAGCACAUACUAUCACAGUAUAUAAUAUUUAUUCUGACAUUUUUUGGAUUACAUGCAAACUUCUCUUUGAUCUUUCUUUACUCAAGGCCAGCCUGGACUACCUGGAGAACCUGGAAUCGGUUAUUGAUUCAAAUUCAUAUAUAUGUUUUGCAGUAACUGAUUGGAAAGUUUACACUAUUUUACCCUGAAUCCAGGUAUUCCAGGACAGCCAGGGUCACCAGGACCACGUGGAGAACAAGGUCCUGAGGGUCCACCAGGACCACAGGGACCUCAAGGACCAAUGGGUCCCAUGGGGCCAGAAGGUCCAAAAGGUAUAAUGGAAAAAAACUAUAUCUGUUUUUACAAACAAACAAACAAACAAACAAACAAACCUCCAGUUACAGUAAAACACUAAUAUUUCUACAUCUGUGCACAAACAUUUUAAUUACAACUUUUUCAUAUUUAAACAAAGGUGAUGCUGGAGUCCCAGGGGCCCCUGGCAUUCCAGGAUAUUCCUACGGUGGAGGAUCCAGAAGUGCUCCAGGACCACCAGGUCCACCUGGACCCCCAGGGCCUCCUGGAGCACCCGGUUCAUCGGAUGGUGGCUCACCAGAUGUUGUUCAGCAGAUUUCAGACUACCUCAGAAGUGAACCCAUCAGGGAAUACCUGACCGGACCUCCAGGCCCACCUGGACCACCAGGACCUUCAGGAUCAGGCUCUGAGGAUUCUCUGGCUAACCGUGUUAUUGAAUACCUUCAAAGAGAUGAGGUGAGGCAGUACCUGAUUGGUCCUCCAGGGCCCCCAGGACCCCCAGGUGUGCCAGGUGGAUAUGGCUUUAACACUCAGGAAGUUGCUGGACGAGUGCUAAGACUCAUGAACGAUUCUGGUUUCAGAGGUCUGCCAGGACCUCCCGGUCCCCCAGGACCUCAAGGAGAACCAGGAAGUGCUGGAGGACUAGUGUCUUACGCUGCUAACGAAAACCAACAGCAAAUCCGCGCAGAGCCUCAGGAGUAUAUCAAAAGGCACCCAAGCUCUGAAGAGAAUUUGGAUUACGUGGUUAUCGCUAAACAGGUUUCAGAUUACAUUAAGACUCAUGGCCUGUUACAAGGCCAAGAUGGUUUGACAAGGAUUCCAGGUCCACGAGGUCCAGCAGGAUUCCCGGGGCUCCCUGGACCCCCUGGACCCCGUGGACGUGACGGAGUCCCUGGACUCCCUGGACCUCCAGGAAUCAGUCUAGAAUUUUCUUCCUCCAAUAUGACAGCGAUCAUGGACUACAUCAGAGGCAAGAUGGAACUUCUUACAUUAAAAAUCUUACAUAUUUACUAUGCAUGGUUAUAA